GCUAAACAGCUAGCUUAACCAACUAAAUACCUAAAACAACAUUAAAACAUUUCAAAAGCCCACAAUGCUCUAAACUAAAACAUUCUACCGCCCCAGUAUGUGCGACAGAAAAGGCCCCAUAAAGCAAUAAUAAAGUACCGCAAGGGAACGCUGAAAGAGAAAUGAAACAAAUUAUUAAAGCACAACAAAGCAGAGACUAACCCUCGUACCUUUUGCAUCAUGAUUUAGCCAGUCCCCCGAGCAAAGCGCACUUUAGUUCAAAACCCCGAAACUAAGUGAGCUACCCCGAGACAGCCUAUUAAUUAGGGCCAACCCAUCUCUGUGGCAAAAGAGUGGGAAGAUCUCCGGGUAGAGGUGACAAACCUACCGAACUUAGUGAUAGCUGGUUGCCUAAGAAAUGAAUAGAAGUUCAGCCUCGUACUCCUCAUCUCACAAACACCUAAACUUACGAACCCGAGAAACCUACGAGAGUUAGUCAAAGGGGGUACAGCCCCUUUGAAACAGGACACAACCUCAUUCAGGAGGUUAAAGAUUAUACUAAACAAGAUACCCCGCUCCAGUGGGCCUAAAAGCAGCCAUCUGAACAGAAAGCGUUAAAGCUCCGGCGGACCACAAUCCAUUAUUUAAAUAUUUUAUCUUAAACCCCUAGACAUAUUAGGCCAUCCCAUGCCUACAUGGAAAAGAUACUGCUAAAAUGAGUAAUAAGAAGGAACCCCCUUCUCCUAGCCUGCGUGUACGCUAAAUUGGACCCCCCACUAGCAAUUAACGAACCCAAUCAAAGAGGGCAUUAUGGUUAUAUUAUACACCAAGAAAUCUCCAUAUAUCCACAUCGUUAACCCCACACUGGAAGGCAAUAAAGGAAAGACUAAAAGAAAAGGAAGGAACUCGGCAAACACAAGCCCCGCCUGUUUACCAAAAACAUCGCCUCCUGCAAAAAUCAACGUAUAGGAGGUCUUGCCUGCCCAGUGACAUGUUAAACGGCCGCGGUAUUUUGACCGUGCGAAGGUAGCGCAAUCACUUGUCUCUUAAAUGGAGACCUGUAUGAAUGGUGGAACGAGGGCUUAACUGUCUCCCCUUUCAAGUCAAUGAAAUUGAUCUGCCCGUGCAGAAGCGGACAUAAAAAUACAAGACGAGAAGACCCUUUGGAGCUUAAGAUAUAAGAUCACCUAUGUCAAGAACUCAGUUAAACUAAAUAGCACCUGAUCCCAAUCUUCAGUUGGGGCGACCACGGGAGAAAACAAAGCUCCCACGCGGACUGGGAUAACCCCCCUAAAACCAAGAAAAACAACUCUAAGUCGCAGAAUCUCUGACCAAAAGAUCCGGCCACCUGCCGACCAACGAACCAAGUUACCCUAGGGAUAACAGCGCAAUCCCCUUUCAGAGUCCAUAUCGACAAGGGGGUUUACGACCUCGAUGUUGGAUCAGGACAUCCUAAUGGUGCAGCCGCUAUUAAGGGUUCGUUUGUUCAACGAUUAAAGUCCUACGUGAUCUGAGUUCAGACCGGAGCAAUCCAGGUCAGUUUCUAUCUGUAAUGCCACUUUCCCCAGUACGAAAGGACCGGAAAAGAGGGGCCCCUGCUACCAGCACGCCCCAUCCCAACUUAAUGACAUCAACUAAAUUAAAUAAAGGGAAGGCACAACCCCAUAUCAAGAUAAGAUU
rnacentral:rRNA from 1 species